ensembl:misc_RNA 7SK 7SK RNA
GGAUGUGAGGGUGCUUUGGUUCUGACAAGUCACCCAUUGAUCGCCAGGGUCGAGUCGGCUGAUCGGGCUGGCUAGGCGGGUGUACCCUUCCCUCAUAGCUCCAUGCGUGCCCCUACCAAAGCUGCGCGCUCGGGACCACGACCAUCCCUGCUAGAGGACCCGUCUUCCGUCAAGGGCACGCAAACAGCCGCACUCCCCUGCUAGAACCUCCAAAGAAAGGGGUGCCCAGGCUGCACUGCACA